ensembl:lncRNA
GUUCGAUCACAGUUUCUCUGGACUGUCUAGAGUCUAGAGACCUGAAACACUGCUGUAGUAGAGAUACAGUGUUUUUAUUAUUAUUAUUAUUAUUAUUAUUAUUAUUAUUAUUCAACUUCAUUUCAUUUGUUUAGUGCUUUUAACAGUUAACAUUGUCACAAAGAAGCUUUACAGAGCUUCCAAACGAACUCUAGCACAGCGAGCAAGCGAUUCGACUCUGAAUCGACUCAUCUACAGGAAGUGAAUCAAACAUGCCGUGUGUUCUGGGUUGCAGCGUUUUUUUAUUUCAUUUCAUAAUUUCUUAUUUGUUUUUCGCUGUGAAAUCUCCUAAGAGUCAGCAUUACAGGUCUACCCACUUUCACAGGAUCAAGUCCAACCACAGCAAACAUAAACCGCCGCACGGAAUUGCGUGUACACAGAACCUUCAAGAUUCAGAAGCUUGUGGCUAGAAAAGAGAACAAACGAAUUAUUCAGUGGCGUCGGUUUACCUGCUUCCACGUCAUCCAGCCGGCCUUCUUAAAAUCCGUUACCAAUUAAUCGUAUCGAAAGGUCAGUGAUUCCACAUUAAUGAAUGAUUUAUGACGUCUGUAAAAUUUCUAACCUUUGGGUUAGUUGAUUAAAAGUACGCUAAUUGACUUUAUUCGAUCGGUUAUUUAGCGGUUUAUUUUCCUCCCAAAUAGACCGGGCAACGAUUGAUGGCGAAGACGGAGACGACCGUAAUGAGGAGGGAAAGAAUGAAAUCCUUUUAGAGGGAAUUAUUACAGAUCGGUUG